UCCGUGGAAAAGUCAGGAACAGGUACUAGG
rnacentral:piRNA from 1 species